GAUCUUCGCCCCCAUGGCGUCUAAGUUCGUCCUCAUCCUCGUCUUCCUCUUCGAUCUUAUCGCUUUCGGCCUCGCCGUCGCCGCCGAGCAGCGCCGCAGCACGGGGAAGGUGGUGGUGGAUUCGGAACAGAACUAUCGGUACUGCGUCUAUGACUCCGACAUCGCCACCGGCUACGGCUCCGUCGCGCUGCUGUUCCUGCUGGCCAGUCAGAUCCUCAUUAUGUUUGCCAGUAAGUGCUUCUGCUGUGGCCCCUCGCUCAAGCCCGGCGGAUCUCGCGCCUGCGCGCUCAUCCUCUUCCUCUUAUGCUGGUUUUCGUUCUUAAUCGCUGAGGCAUGCCUGCUCGCUGGAUCUGUCCGAAACGCCUAUCACUACAGGUACACAAAGCUGUUCUUUGAUGACCCGCCUUCAUGCCACACUGUGAGGAAGGGAGUGUUUGCUGCUGGCGCAGCCUUCACCUUCUUCACGGCCAUCAUCUCCGAAUUCUACUAUAUCUCCUAUGCGAAGUCUCGUACCAACUCUAACAACGGCUAUGGGAGGGAAUCUGCUGUUGGGAUGAGUCCAUAUAGUUAAUCAGAUACUUGAUAUCUCAGUUAGAGUUGGCGCAUCUUAGUUUUGUUUCUUUUGAUCUGGUUGGACUUUUACAGUACAGUGGGCUCCUAGUUCUGGCACUAUGUGUUGUUAUCGGUAUCGACAGUGUUCUGUUUGCGGCGUGGUAUUAUACUUA
rnacentral:misc_RNA from 1 species